rnacentral:tRNA from 1 species
GGUACAGUGGUCGAGAGGUUAAGACGCUGGAUGCAGGUUCCAGUUCCCUUGUGGAGCGCAGGUUCGAACCCUGUCUGUGCCG